rnacentral:lncRNA from 1 species
AGACCAAGUCUGCUAGGAGGAAUUAAAAACCAUUCAAAUACAACUCCCUUUUUUAAAACUAUCCAUAAAAUAUCCAACAUGAUACAAAAAUAACAACAACAACCAAAUGAGUUGAAAUGUUUACCCGAACGAGCUUUGUAGCUACUGAUGCGUUGUUUCCGUGGAUUGAAUCUUUACUUCCGUUUUUAAUCCAGACUUAUAUUUAGCUGCUCGAUUUACUUCUCUAAAUAUUCACCAAGCCAAAAUGUUUUAAUAGAGCUCUAAAUCCCUUUGCAUCUACAA